AACGAACGCUGGCGGCAUGCCUAACACAUGCAAGUCGAACGAGACCUUCGGGUCUAGUGGCGCACGGGUGCGUAACGCGUGGGAACCUGCCCUUAGGUUCGGAAUAACUCCCCGAAAGGGGUGCUAAUACCGGAUAAUGUCUUCGGACCAAAGAUUUAUCGCCCUUGGAUGGGCCCGCGUUGGAUUAGCUAGUUGGUAGGGUAAAAGCCUACCAAGGCGACGAUCCAUAGCUGGUCUGAGAGGGUGAUCAGCCACACUGGGACUGAGACACGGCCCAGACUCCUACGGGAGGCAGCAGUGGGGAAUAUUGGACAAUGGGCGAAAGCCUGAUCCAGCAAUGCCGCGUGAGUGAUGAAGGCCUUAGGGUUGUAAAGCUCUUUUACCCGGGAUGAUAAUGACAGUACCGGGAGAAUAAGCUCCGGCUAACUCCGUG
rnacentral:rRNA from 1 species